AAUCAACGCUGGCGGCGUGCCUAACACAUGCAAGUCGAACGCGAAAGGGGCUUCGGCCCUGAGUAGAGUGGCGAACGGGUGAGUAACACGUGGGUGAUCUACCUUCGAGUGGGGAUAACGCUUCGAAAGGAGCGCUAAUACCGCAUGACGUUCUGGGUUUGAAGACCUGGAGACCAAAGCCGGGGACCGCAAGGCCUGGCGCUUGGAGAGGAGCCCGCGUCCGAUUAGCUAGUUGGUAGGGAAUGGCCUACCAAGGCUUCGAUCGGUAGCCGGCCUGAGAGGGCGGACGGCCACACUGGGACUGAGACACGGCCCAGACUCCUACGGGAGGCAGCAGUGGGGAAUUGUUCGCAAUGGGCGCAAGCCUGACGACGCAACGCCGCGUGAGGAUGAAGGUCUUCGGAUCGUAAACUCCUGUUGACCGGGACGAAUGGCCCUUAAACUAAUACGUUGAGGAAUGACGGUACCGGUUGAGGAAGCCACGGCUAACUCUGU
rnacentral:rRNA from 1 species